rfam:Homo sapiens chromosome 3, GRCh38 reference primary assembly.
GCCGGGCAUGGUGGCGCAUGUCUGUAGUCCCAGCUACUCGGGAGGCUGAGGCAGAAGAAUCGCUUGAACCCGGGAGGCAGAGGUUGCAGUGAGCUGAGAUCGCACCACUACACUCCAGCCUGGGUGACAGAGCGAGACUCUGUCUCAA